CCUACGGGAGGCAGCAGUGGGGAAUAUUUGGCAAUGGGCGCAAGCCUGACCCAGCAACGCCGCGUGAAGGAAGAAGGCUUUCGGGUUGUAAACUUCUUUUGUCAGGGAAGAGUAGAAGACGGUACCUGACGAAUAAGCCACGGCUAACUACGUGCCAGCAGCCGCGGUAAUACGUAGGUGGCACGCGUUGUCCGGAUUGACUGGGUGUAAAGGGCGUGUAGCCGGGUUGACAAGUCAGAUGUGAAAUCCUGCGGCUUAACCGCAGAACUGCAUAUGAAACUGUUGAUCUUGAGUACUGGAGAGGCAGACGGAAUUCCUAGUGUAGCGGUGAAAUGCGUAGAUAUUAGGAGGAACACCAGUGGCGAAGGCGGUCUGCUGGACAGCAACUGACGGUGAGGCGCGAAGGCGUGGGGAGCAAACGGGAUUAGAUACCCCUGUAGUC
rnacentral:rRNA from 1 species